ensembl:lncRNA
GCCUAAUGCACAUUUCCUUCUUGUAAAUAUUUGCUUGUAAUAUUUCAAAAGUUUGUUUCAAGCUGACAAUUACAUGGAAGCAAGAAAAUAUGACAGUUUUCUUUUAAAGUAUUUCAACUUAAAGUUGAUGUCAGACAUCGAGUUGUAACGAAGUUCUGAGUUUUGGAUCCGACUCCGGCAUUUGCAUCCAUAUGGACGGAUGUAUUUGACUUGUGUGAAAAAAAAAAAAUUCAAUAACUCAGUAGAAAUAUGUACAAUUUGUACCCAUCAGCCUUUUUCCUUUCCACUUAUAUAACAUAACCAUUUCCAGUGAAAUAGGAUGGAGAUUAAAAGUGAACUACUGUUUGAUUCCAGGAUUUAAGCAUACAGCAAUGAAAGCUUUUUUUCUUUUCAUUUAACUCGGUAUUCAAGCAAAUAAACAUAUUUCCUAAAAUUUAGAAAUAUUUCUUGAUGUCAGUUAAAAGAUAAAAGUUCCAUUUCCAAUUUUUUUUCAAUUUUAUUUCUCUGCGAUAAAUGAUUCCCUCUUGUGAAAUAAAGUAUUUGCACUCUGUUUUCUUUUUCUAUCAGUCAAAUAAAACAAGCUGAAAAAGAAAAACCAGAACAAGGAGGAUGAACUACUGAUUUUUAGUUGGAAGGCUGAUAAAGUUUCAGAUGUCACGUCAAACGACUGUGAAAAAUAAAAAAAACUGAGCAGCAAAAGCUUCCAGAUGUAAGUUUAAAAAAAACAACUAUUUAUUUAUUGACUUAUUUAUUUUUCUUUGUAACUACAAGAAGAUCAGGUGUUUGGUAAUUAAAAGCUGCAUUUCUAAGUAUUUGUGCAAAUUGAAGCCUGUUUGAAACACUGCACACCUCACUCUAAUGAUGCUACCCUGUUAAAAUCCCUUUGCUGCUGUCACAUCAUCAUCGACAGGCCAAAAAAUUCAUUUUUCCCAACACAAGUUUCUAAUUUCUACAUGAUUCUUGUCUAAUUUUUAAUACCUGUGAUGUUCAAACUAACAUGCAGUUUUGUUGUUUUGGAAAUCAGCAUGUUCUGUGCUGUUUGUGGUCACUUUUCUGUAGAACGUGUUACUUCUGUUUGGUCAUGCAGUAACAGCUGGAGCCUUCAGAGAGGCGUCGUCAGGUCUCCUAUGCAUCUUUGAUUUCUCGCCACGAGUGCGACUUAACAUCAUAGUAGCACUGCAGCUGUUUGGUUUCUUUACUACGAGAGGAACAAGUCGGAUUGUGUUCGAGCACUUUUCAUUUUUUACAUUUUCUUUUAUUCCUUUGUCAAAUCACUGUGACACUUGUCUUUUGUCGUUGAGAAAAAGUUUGAAUAAAACUUACUACUGUAUUCACAGACCUGUGUGGAAGUCUGUUUGUGUGAUGGAGAGCAAAGACGUCUGUUUUCAGAAUGGAAUUUCUCUUUGCUCCUUGCCGGUGUUGGAACAAAGUGGAAUAACUGGGGCAGUUAUUUUGAGAGGCCUUUUAACUAUGGAAAACGUUUUGCACUGAGCUCUGCCUCAGUUUCUCACACAUCUGUAUGCAGUUUUGGGAAAUAUUAUUGUUUUAUGUCCAUAUUCUGUCUAGUGAGAGGGCAUGCCUGCAUAAAAAAAGCUUUUGGAUACAUGGCUCCUCCUCCGUGGUGCUGAGCGUCUCUGUGGCCACAUGAGCGGAGUCUGGGAGCAGCAGCGGCUCUGGGAUUUACUACCGGGACUGAGGGAGCAUCUGGAUUAACACCACACACCAGAUUUCUUAUUUCUCUUUUUGUUUUGUUUUUUAUUAUUCUUUUUUUGAAUUGUUGAAGCUUUUUCUUCUAUUUCUGGGCUGAAGAAACAACCUGCAGUCAUGUCUCGGGGUCCGGAUGAUGUGAGCAAGCUGACAGAAAGUACCUACAAGCCUCAGAUCACGAAGCCCCGCCCACACCUCCGACUGCGGCUCAGUGGGUGAUGCUAGGAGAAGAAGCAGACAUGGCGGGCUCGCUCCAAUCAGACCAACUCGAGAGGGCGGUUAUGGCCGGUGUACGGGCUGCACUUCAGUCCACACCACAAACGGUUUCCACACCACAGAUACCUCUGGCCGGGCCCUCACGUACUUCAAGCUUUGCUGCGACCACCACUUCACUAAGAUCGCGAUGAAGACACCAAUGAGGAUGCAGAAGACCUUGGAGGCCCCAGACGAGAAUUCUUCCAUCUACUUGGAAAAGCUGUCUUUAAAGACAGUGGAGCAUUUGAAGGUCCCUCUCUAUCUCCCCACACAUCCACCAACCACUGGAACAUAUCUCCAAAGUUCUGCUGGGCCAGCUCAGCUUCCCCUCAGAAGAAGUGCCGCCACCUGCCAGAUGAAGGAGCCUUUUGAGAGGCAGCUGGCAUCGUGAUUGGACUGUACUUUGGUCUGUUCCAAUCCAGCUUCAGCUCUAGAGACGGCAGGCGGGACGAGUCAACGGAGGCCGGGUGGACGAAGGCAUGCAGCUGAGUACAAUCCAGAAAACAACAGAGGAGGAGUGCAGCGGCCCAGAGCCAGAACAAACACAGUAGCAUCGUAUGUCUCUUAGAAAACAUCAUAGUAUAGCCUUUGGUAUGAAAAAAACGCCAUCAUAUACAUCGUAUAUUGUACAAAUAACAAGUCAAAGGAAAGAGACAUACAUUGUAGAAUUGUAGUAAUUCUGGGCUGACUGAUUUACUGAUUAUCAGUAUUUUGUUUUUUACCGAUUUACGGUAAUAAAUCAAUUUAAAAAUGACGCUACUUUGGCUCUGAACCUUGAUCUACCUGUGAUCGCUCUGUCUUCUGGAGUGAUUUGAUUGGUUACACGUCACGAAUAAAA